GUGUGACCAGCGGAGGAGGGUGUAAACAAAGAGAGACACAGCGGGUCUUACAAGUGGAUGUCAUACUGACGUCCAUGGAUACAAAACAAAUUUUAGCGCCAGUCAGGCAAUUUAUGCGCCAACACUCCAAAGAAUUGUUAUAUGCUUUUUUUUGGAAUUGAUUUAAAAACGUUAUUUGACUUUUGGCAUCUAUCUAAUCAUCCCCUGUCUUAUUUCAUUGCAUUUCAUUUUCAUUUCAUUUUCAUUUCAUUUAUUUAAAUACAACAACAUAUACAUCUACCUUAUUUUCUUAACAUGCACUUAAUCAGCACAUCGAUAGAAUAUAAUUAUUUCGUAGGUGUUAUUUUAUUAUUUUUAUUUUAUUAAAAAUAUUUUAUUAAUACUGUCGUAAUGUUAGUUUUAAUUUUUUUAAAAUCUUUAUUAUUUAUAAUUAUUAUUAUUUUUAUUACGUUAGGAAUCGCGUAAAUUUCGUAGACGCCAAUAGUCAAAUUUGAAAUAUUCACAUACAAAUACGAAACUAUUGAAAUUUUAUAUAAAAUUUUGCCAACUGGAGUCUUUCGGCGUUUGUGCCUUUUUAUCCUCCUUGACGUGCUGAUUUGAUGAACGCCAUCGCGUCUUCGAGCAUCCAAGCAUCAAUCAUAGUAAGAACUAACAUGUGCUGAAACCAAAAAGCUAAUAUACACAGGGCGGAUCCAGAGAUUUUCUGAAGGGGUGGGGAGUGGGGACACAAUAAGAAGUCCACGCCACUCCCACCUCGGCCCCACCAUGGUUGGUGAAAAUAAGUGGUAAAUAAUCUAGCUUUCCUUCGCCCACUGCUGAUCACCACUGAACUCAUGGGUGCACUGUCUUUUUUCAUCUUUCCUCUCUCUAACUCAAAUUUUUCUCCCUAUUUUUUAUUUUUUGGCUUGACUGAUGGGGGAGGGGCGGGAACGGGUCUCAUGCCCCCCCCCCCCCCCCGCUGGAUCCGUCCCAGAUAUAGAACUCUAUAUAAUACCUUUUUGGUUAAAAUGUGUUUCUUCCAUUUCUACUAACACACAGGUUUAGACAUUAGGCUUUUCUUUUUCAGGGCAACGAAGCUAAUAAUAAUUACGGCUGAUCUUGUUGAUAUUAUUCAAUGUUAAUACUGUAUAGCAUAUUUAGCUAGAUUUUAUAAUUGCAAACAAGGUUUAAUGAUUAUCGUAUCAUACAGAAUUGCGAUGAUAAUAUAGAUGAACCAUGGGUUCCAUGGAUAAACUUCCAAUAUAGGCCUUCUAAUUACCAUUAUAGGCCACUAGCUGUUACUAGAUGCUGAUAAUCUGACAACACUGCAUGUAGAUCAUAUAUUCUGCAAAAUUUUGACAACAUCAAUUUAUCAUAUAAACAGCAUCAAUUAGACUAUUUAUGAAUGUAUGUAUUAUGCAAAUUGAACUAACACUUAGACCGAUAUAGAAUAAGACAGUUGUUGUUUAAUUAUGUUGAUUAUAUGCAAAUGUAACUGGACCACAGGUAAGUUACUAACACAGCAAGACAUCGCUUCGAGCAUCCAAGCAUCAAACCAAGUAAGUCAACUAACCACAGGAUUGUUUGUGUAGAAGAAACAAUCAUACUAAUAUUGUACCCAAUGCCCAUCUUGUAAACCACUUUAUUUAAAUCAUAGUAUUUUUUAUUUAUUUAUUUUUUUAUUCGUUUCGAUAGUGGGUUAGGUCAGUAUUUUGAUAAUGAUAGCAGGUGCUGCCUCAAUGCGUCUUCAAUUGUAUACCUAUGAAAUUGUUACAAUAAAUCUGUACUGGUACAUUUGUACAAACAACUGUGUCUUGACUCCUUCUUUACAUUGGUAUCUGUGUCUUUUUUUUUUUAUCACAUUUAUGGUCAGCCCCUAGUCCUAUACCAAACAUUGUAUCCCUAUGAAUUUGUUUCAAUAAAUUGGUACAUCAGAACAUGCGUUUAUGUCUCGUUUAUUUAACAUCCUAAGACGUGUUUUUGUCUGAAUUUGUUAUGAAUUGUAAUUUUGUAAAUGUAAAACAAUAGUAAAUGAAAUUCAUUUACUAUUGUUAAAUUUCAGUGUAUGUAAAUCCAAGGUUUAUAAUAACUAAUAGUAUGUCUUUUAUUUCAGAAAUUUAAUACAUUUUGUUGUUCACAGACAGUAGCAAGGCGACAAAUACCUUGUGCAUCACAGGUCUUUGUCACCAUGCAAUGUGUGCGGAAUAAAUAAAUAUUAUUCGUUCAAUAGUAUUUUAUGAACUUUCGUUAGUUUAUUUCAUUUCAGAAGAAAACAAUCUGGUGAUUUUGAUAAUGAUACUUGAGGAAAUAUGCUAACCUACUGAUUGGCUGGCGGUACUUCUACCUAUCGACGUGGAAUGAAAGAAAAAUGAUGAUGAUGGUGAUUGUGAUGAUGACGGUAGCGAUGACUAUAAUAGUGACGUUUAAUGAAGAUUUUAAAUUUUUGUGUAGUGUAUUUGAGCUUUUUAACUGACUUUGAUUUUGACUGACUUUGCUAUUACAACAUACUAUAAAAUGACAAAUGAUGGUGAUGAGUGACGACAGCGAUGACGAUUAACGAUAAUGAAAUGGUGUAUCCAAACUUGCAAAGAAUAAAUCAAAUCAAUUUGCUAGGUGGACUCGGGCUUCUUCUCUGCUUCUUCUUCUAAUGGAGAAUUAUCGACAUAAAGUGCUCAUGAGGAUGAUGCGGAUAACGAGGAUGAUGACGAUAGAGAUGAUACUGAUGGUGAUGAUGAAAUGGUAGACCUGUGCUUGCAAAGUGGUUGAUAUGCAAAGCAGUAAAUGCUUGUGGACACUCCCCGACCUGACUUGAAUUUAGAGUGUGAUCGACUUAAAAACAAGGAAAUAUGUGGACGUCGAUGAUUAAUAAUGAUCGUAUGGUGAUGGACGGCUGAUUUUAAGAAAAAAACCCUGGAUUUCGAUAAUGAUUCUUGUGGAAAUAUGCUGUGAUUGGCUGGUGGUUCUUCUGCCGAUGGAUAAUUUAUUGACUUGAAUUGAAAACAAAAUGAACAGUGAUGAUGAUGAUGUAUACUUGUUCAUAUCGACAUGAAAUGAACAUUGAACGAAUACGAUGAUAUAAUUCAAGAUGAUAACUAGGAUGUUGUUGCUGAUAAGGAUGGCGAUAGAGCUGACGUUGAAACAAGCCAAAUAUGGACUGGAAAGGACGAUGACAACUAUAACGAUGAUGCGAAUAACGAGGAUGAUGGCGAUAGGGAUGGUACGGAUGGUGAUGAUGAUGAUGAAAUGGUAGACCUGUACUUGCAAAGUGGUCGAUACGCAAAUCAGUAAAUGCUUGUAGACAGUCCCCGACCUGACUGGAAUUUGGUGUGAUCGACUUAAAAACAAGAAAAUAUGUGCACGUCGAUGAUUAAUAAUGACCGUAUGAUAAUGGACGGCUUAUAUCAAGAAAAGAAAACCUGGUGAUUUCGAUAAUGAUGCUUGUGGAAAUAUUCUAUGAUUGGCUGGUGGUUCUUCUGCCGAUGGAUAUUUUAUUGACUUGAAUUGAAAAGAAAAUGAACAGUGACGAUGAUAAUGAUGAUUGUGAUGAUGAUGAUGAUGAUGAAAUGAACAUUGAACGAAUACGAUGAUAUAAUUCAUGAUGAUAACGAGGAUGUUGUUGCUGAUAAGGAUGGCGAUAGAGUUGACGUUAAAACAGUAACGACGAUUCUAAUUUUACAGUAGGCCCUACUUGAUAACUUGUAAUUGACUCUUGAAUCUUUACUCUGCUUAUCUUCCUAUCAUGGAUCCAAAUAUGGACUGGAAAGUUUGGGUGGUUCCUGAGAGCUUUAGUGAUUUGGGAUUUGAGCUGAUUAAGAGACUUUGCCAUUAGUACAACCUAAUAAAAAAAAUGACGAUAAUGGUGAUGAUUAAAACGGCAGCGUUGACUUUUUAGUGACUAUUAACGAUAAUGAAAUGGUGUAGGCCCUAACUAAACUUGCAAAUAUAAUUUUUAAGAUGAUGUGAAUGCAUGAAAGUUGACCUUGUUUUUCAAAGCGGCUUGGUGUUGUAAAAUGACCAGAGGGCUAUUGGGCUAUGCACAGGCUUAGACAUCUAUACAUUUUUAUAACAUAAAAUUUGUUUUCAUUUCAGAAAAGAAAUAAUAAGGAAUUACCGAUUUUCUGAUUAAAUCAUAUCAACGUGUUCCUUUUGACGGUGAAUAUCAACUUAAAGUGAGGACGAUGAUAAUUAUAACGAAUAUAAUCUUGUAUAUGAUGGCGAUAAAAUGUUAACGUCACGGUGACGAUGAAAUGGUAGACCAACUUGCAAAGCCCGACAGAAGUGGUUGAUAUGCAAGGCCUUGAAUACUUGUGAACUGCCGCCGACUUCAACCUACUGAAACUGUGUACCAUCGACUUAGAGGAAUCUACUGGUGGAUUAAAAGUUGAUUAUACUAAAGGAAUUUGGAACUGUGACCAACCUAAUAUCAGUAUGACAUAGAAAGCGAAUUUUGUUUUGUUUAUCAGCAGAAUAAUAUCAUUUCCGAAGGAAUAAGCCAAUCUGGUCGAUUUAAUUUAGAGAUGCCAUGUAUUUUUGAAAGUGUUAAGCAAUGCCUUAGUCAGAAUUUUUCGGGUGGACCCACUUUACGCGUAAAUUCAAAUAAUGUGAACCCAUUUUCUUAAAAUUUCACGCAAAAAACAUUUUAACACAAAAAUAUGAAAAAUCUGGACCCAUUUUCUUAAAGUUUGCC
rnacentral:lncRNA from 1 species